rnacentral:snRNA from 1 species
GAUGUACAAUCUAAAUUUACAAA